GUGCUCACUUCGGCAGCACAUAUACUAAAAUUGGAACCAUACAGAGAAGAUUAGCAUGGCCCCUGCGCAAGUAUGACACGCAAAUUUGUGAAGCAUUCCAUAUUUAA
ensembl:snRNA U6 U6 spliceosomal RNA